CAUGUCCCUCAGCUCCCAUCCCCUCCUUCUUCCCUGCCCUGAGAGCCAUCCGGGUUUCCUUUCCAGUCUCCCUCUGCUCCUGUGCUUUCUUCCCCUUCCCUCACUUCCCCUGCUCUGUCUUCUCCUCAGUUCCCCGCCCUCCCUCUCUGCACCUGCCCAGUUUCCCCCAUCUCCCCUCCAUGCUCCCUUCCUCCCCAGCUCCUGAGUUGGACCACCUCAGCUCAGCGCCCUACUUCCUGUGCCUGCCCCUGCCUGCUGCCCACCAUCCCUGCACACAGCUCACUCCUCCCUCUGGCCCUCCUGCUGAGCAGGCGGCUCCCCCACUGCCCUGGGCCUGCCCACCUUCCCCAGCCCCCGCAGUCAAGGCUCUCCAACUCCACACCACCGGGGUGAGGGCAGAGAGGCACCCUCUCCAGGGCUGCGCUUCCUCCAGCAGGGCCUGUGUCCUCACCUCCAACGUGAAGAUCAGGCUGGGCCAUUAUUGCAGAGCUGUGCUGAGUGUUGAAGAAGGAGCCAGCUGAGGAGGUGUGUCAUGCAACUUGCCCCCCCAGCCCUCCCCUUCUAAGGAACCCCCACACCUGCUCUGUCUUCCUGCUACAGUCUCUGAGAAAAGCCCUUUCAUCUGUCAAGAACUACAAAAGUCAUUCUUUAAGGGUCUCUGGCUGCUCUUGAGUCGAAGACAGAUUCUUGUCCUGUUUGCUGCCCUCUGUAGCCUGUGAGCAGAACCAGAAGGGACACUCUCACAGCCUGUUCGCCACGGAAUCCAGGAGGCAGGUCCAUUUUGGUGGCUGUCUCCACAACAUGGCUUUUUCCCCUUGAAGACCAUCAGAAGAGCCUGUAUCUCCGCAUCUGCGGAAAUCGUCUUUGCCAUGUAAUGUGCCAUAACCAUGGGAGUGACAUCGCAUCACAUCCCAGGGCCACCGCUGAGGAGGAGGGUGAGGAUCUUGACCCUUAUCUUAGAAUUCUGCCCUGCCUGGCUUCCACUUGUCCUCUUCUAAAUCUAUCUUAACUCAUUCCUUUGGUGCCUGUUUUUACUGCCUUAAUUUUGGCAAUAAAGGGAGGAAUAAAAACACAUCUUUUUUUUCUUUUUUUGAAUUCUCAUUACAUCCACACACAAGAAAUGUGUCACAUGAAG
rnacentral:lncRNA from 1 species